rnacentral:misc_RNA from 1 species
GUGAAAUCUUUAAACUUGCAAAUCUUUUUAACAUUAGCCUUCUUGGGUCAUAAAAAUUUUGAACUUGCUUUCAAUGCAUGCAUGGACGUCUCCACUUAUCCUAUAAUGAAUUCUAAUUCAUUUUCCUCCUCUGUUAACUCCACAAUUUGUUUCCUCUUCAAAAGUCUGUAAUGCCAGCAAUUGCUUGUUCUAAUACUAGUGCCCAAGAAAAUACCUCUCCCCACGUUUGUAACAGUUUUCAAGUGCUCUCUUUUGAUCCAUUUCUAACUCACAAGCAUUAGUAGUUUUGGUUGCAGGUGCUGCUAAUAAUAAUGGUGCUCGGCUAGAGAAAUUAAUGUCAUUUCUGCUAUUUGGAUUAGCAAAUAGGCUGGUAUGAAUUGGAUUAGGUUCUAGGUUAAGCCUUCUGCUUCUUAAGAAUUGCUUCUUUGACUGUUCUUGUAAAUUUGCAUGCUUGAUUACUUGUUCGAGCCACUGAUAAAGUUUGAAAUGAAAUAUGGUCCUGUCAAUCCAGGAUUAUGUUUCAACAUUAAAGAUUUGAUCUCUU